ACGCUUUGCUGCAGAAGGAUCCUGGUGUCUGCUUGCGUUCUUGCUGGCGAGACAAGAUAGCGUGGGACAAUUGGUGCUGAAACCCGGUAUGCCUCACCAUCGCUGGCACCGAGAAGACCCCCGGUCACAGGGCAGGAUUCAGGUCUGCAGGACUAGGGGGAAGACAACCCAUUCUGGCUGCCGGAGCGACUGACAUGGACAGUUCUGACACCUGAAGAUGACACUUGGACGGAUCCCACAGAGACUACCUCUGGCCCUCGUGCUGCCUCUUUGGACCUGGGUUCCUAGUAUAUUGGGAGAAUACAGAUGGGCUAUCUUGUCUGCCUUCCCGAAGCCAAUGCCUCUCUGUCAUGAUGCAGUUGUUUUCCCUAAGUUUUUUACAACUAAUAAAACCUUAGAAUUAC